rnacentral:rRNA from 1 species
CAGUCGCCACGGGAAUACGUAGGGUGCAAGCGUUAAUCGGAAUUACUGGGCGUAAAGCGCACGCAGGCGGUCUGACAAGUCAGAUGUGAAAUCCCCGGGCUUAACCUGGGAACUGCAUUUGAAACUGUCAGGCUGGAGUCUUGUAGAGGGGGGUGGAAUUCCAGGUGUAGCGGUGAAAUGCGUAGAGAUCUGGAGGAAUACCGGUGGCGAAGGCGGCCCCCUGGACAAAGACUGACGCUCGGGUGCGAAAGCGUGGGGAGCAAACAGGAUUAGAUACCCCUGUAGUCCCUGUCUCUUAUAU